rnacentral:lncRNA from 1 species
UUUUGGAUAUGUAGCUCAGGGUCUUGGAGGUUUGAAGCCCUGGAUUUUGUACAAGUUUGAGAAUGGGACAGUACAUAAUCCACCUUGUUUUCGCGAUAUGUCUUUGGAGCCAUGUUAUCAUUCCCCUCCAAAUUAUGACUGCAAAAAGAAAACAGGAAGUUAUAACACAGGUAAUGUUGUUCCUCAUGUGAGACAUUGUAAGGAUAUGAGCUGGGGUUUAAAGCUAUUUGAUCAGAAUGGUGAAUUGUAACAUGUUAGAAUAAGGGAAACACAAUUGUUGCAGGACUAAUAAUUAUAACUUACUACACGAUUCUUUCAUUGACACGAUUCUUUUGAUGAUAGGCAAUGAUGCAACUUAGAGUGAAGAAGAGAAAAAAUCAUAUUUUUCAGUGUUUAAUGAAAGUUAAACCAUAAAUUUCUGUCUAUGUGUGGAGUUUUUUAUUUUAUUUAAUGGUAAGUAUUCGUACUUUUUGCUACAUCAUUGUAUACUCAGCAUUUCUCUGAGCAACUGGCAAAAAAAUGGAUGAGUUCACCUUGGUGGAAAAUAAGAUUUUCAACGCACCACAAAUAUACAUGAGCGUGUGUGUGCGCAACUCGCUAAACCAUAAUUCUAUGGUUAUAAACAGGAUCUUCUCCCCCAGAACCAAAACUCGGUAAACAGACAAAAUCGAAAUGAAAUGGAUAGAGCUCGACAUCACAGAAGCAGUCAUCAACUGGAGCUAUGAAAAUCUACCUUACCAACGGAUCGGAGAGAUGAUAGAUUGCCAAAGCACUCCUGCUACUUGCGACGAUCCUCUCUCUACCGAUUUGUCCCCGAUGCACAGCCUGGGCUCAUAGAGGGAUUA